GCAGGCUCAGAUUAGUGUGAUCACAUCAGGGGUUAAUGUUUCCAGUUCUGUGAUUUGUUGCUGGCUUGAAGUUCUCCCAUUUGGUCCAGAAAAGUUCCUCUGGUUGGCAAAUGGGAGAAUGCUCCAGGGCUGGUCUCAGUGGGGGAACUGUAACCCCCAGUACUUGCAAGUUAGCAAAAGAGCUGUAAUCUUCAUUUUCACUUGCACCCCUAGGGAUUGUUUUUCCUGCCUAAGAAGGGUGAAGAAGGAAGCAGGGAGCAUGUUGGGAUAUGUUCAGAGCCACUUCAAGUGUCCAUCGCAACAGUUCCCAGCCUGGAUCUUUUCUUUAGCUGUUUAUUCCAGCAGAGCUGAGUUUCCUGCCUCAACAAUGCAGGAAGUCCAAGCCUUUCCCCAGAAAAGCUUACAGGGGAAAUGUCAGCUUCCAACUUAGAAUUGUUGCAGCAGACUCAGAAGAAAUGGAAACACUUUGAAAGACAGAGACCUUUUGCCUUUAUUUGCCACUAAUCCCCUUUCAUUCAACAAGGACCAAAGCUUGGAUCAAUGGAGGGACAGCCUAUGUCUUUUUGAACCCUAGUCUAUCUGAGAUGCUGCAGAGAAAACUGAUUCUGUACUUGUUGGAACAAGCUUGACAUGUGGAUAUUCAUCAGAAUGCUUAGGAAGGAAGCACUUGAACUGAAGUCCCUCUGUUCUGACUCACUGCAUCCGGGGCAAAAUCUUGCUCUUUGUAUUCAUUUCUCCAGAGCUCAAGGUCAGAGCUGGCACAGCAAAGACUCAAAUCUGGGCUGUUCCUGAGCUUCAAAUUGGCAUCACUGCCCUGGAUGGCUCCUGAGACCAUACUGGUAACAAGGCAGGACAGAAAUUCUCUGAGGCAAAG
rnacentral:lncRNA from 1 species